AUUGAACGCUGGCGGCAGGCCUAACACAUGCAAGUCGAACGAGUGGCGGAGGGGUGUGUAAUGUCUGGGAAACUGUCCGAUGGAGGGGGAUAACUAUUGGAAACGGUAUCUAUUAUCGCACACCCCCUCAUGUGCCCCGAUGGGAUUAGCUCGUAGGUGGGGUAACGGCUCACCUAGGCGACGAUCCCUAGCUGGUCUGAGAGGAUGACCAGCCACACUGGGACUGAGACACGGCCCAGACUCCUACGGGAGGCAGCAGUGGGGAAUAUUGCACAAUGGGCGCAAGCCUGAUGCAGCCAUGCCGCGUGUAUGAAGAAGGCCUUCGGGUUGUAAAGUACUUUCAGUGGGGAGGCGUUACCCACAGAAGAAGCACCGGCUAACUCCGUGCCAGCAGCCGCGGUAAUAC
rnacentral:rRNA from 1 species